UAGGGAAUCUUCGGCAAUGGGGGGAACCCUGACCGAGCAACGCCGCGUGAGUGAAGAAGGUUUUCGGAUCGUAAAGCUCUGUUGUUAAGGAAGAACGAGUGUGAGAAUGGAAAGUUCAUGCUGUGACGGUACUUAACCAGAAAGGGACGGCUAACUACGUGCCAGCAGCCGCGGUAAUACGUAGGUCCCGAGCGUUGUCCGGAUUUAUUGGGCGUAAAGCGAGCGCAGGCGGUUAGAAAAGUCUGAAGUGAAAGGCAAUGGCUCAACCAUUGUAGGCUUUGGAAACUGUUUAACUUGAGUGCAGAAGGGGAGAGUGGAAUUCCAUGUGUAGCGGUGAAAUGCGUAGAUAUAUGGAGGAACACCGGUGGCGAAAGCGGCUCUCUGGUCUGUAACUGACGCUGAGGCUCGAAAGCGUGGGGAGCGAACAGG
rnacentral:rRNA from 2 species